rnacentral:rRNA from 1 species
CAAUAGCGUAUAUUAAAGUUGUUGCGGUUAAAAAGCUCGUAGUUGGAUUUCUGUUGAGAGCAGCGCGUCUACCUUUUGGGUAAGUAUGUUGCUUGGUCUCGGCAUCUUCGUGGAAAACGUUUCUGCGCUUGAUUGCGUGGGGCGGGGUUCACGACUUUUACUUUGAGGAAAUUAGAGUGUUCACGGCAGGCAUACGCCUUGAAUAUAUUAGCAUGGAAUAAUAACAUAGGGCUUACGGCCUAUUUUGUUGGUUUCUAGGCUGCAGGCAAUGAUUAAUAGGGACAAUUGGGGGCAUUCGUAUUAACGCGUCAGAGGUGAAAUUCUUGGAUUGCGUUACGGCGAACUACUGCGAAAGCAUUUGCCAAGGAUGUUUUCAUUGA